rnacentral:rRNA from 1 species
AGAGUUUGAUCCUGGCUCAGGAUGAACGCUAGCGGCAGGCUUAACACAUGCAAGUCGAGGGGUAUAGUUCUUCGGGACUAGAGACCGGCGCACGGGUGCGUAACGCGUAUGCAAUCUGCCUUUUACAGGGGAAUAGCCCAGAGAAAUUUGGAUUAAUGCCCCAUGGUAUAUUUGAGUGGCAUCACUUGAUUAUUAAAGAUUUAUCGGUAAAAGAUGAGCAUGCGUCCCAUUAGCUAGUUGGUAAGGUAACGGCUUACCAAGGCGACGAUGGGUAGGGGUCCUGAGAGGGAGAUCCCCCACACUGGUACUGAGACACGGACCAGACUCCUACGGGAGGCAGCAGUGAGGAAUGUUGGACAAUGGGCGCAAGCCUGAUCCAGCCAUGCCGCGUGCAGGAUGACGGUCCUAUGGAUUGUAAACUGCUUUUAUACGGGAAGAAACCACUCUUCGUGAAGAGUACUGACGGUACCGUAAGAAUAAGGAUCGGCUAACUCCGUGCCAGCAGCCCGCGGUAAUACGGAGGAUCCAAGCGUUAUCCGGAAUCAUUGGGUUUAAAGGGUCCGUAGGCGGCCUUAUAAGUCAGNGGUGAAAUCUNCCGGCUUAACCGGGAAAUGGCCAUUGAUCUGU